AAUAGAUACCCUGGUAGUCCACGCCGUAAACGAUGAGUGCUAAGUGUUAGGGGGUUUCCGCCCCUUAGUGCUGCAGCUAACGCAUUAAGCACUCCGCCUGGGGAGUACGGUCGCAAGACUGAAACUCAAAGGAAUUGACGGGGGCCCGCACAAGCGGUGGAGCAUGUGGUUUAAUUCGAAGCAACGCGAAGAACCUUACCAGGUCUUGACAUCCCGCUGACCGCUAUGGAGACAUAGCUUUCCCUUCGGGGACAGCGGUGACAGGUGGUGCAUGGUUGUCGUCAGCUCGUGUCGUGAGAUGUUGGGUUAAGUCCCGCAACGAGCGCAACCCUUGUCCUUAGUUGCCAUCAUUCAGUUGGGCACUCUAAGGAGACUGCCGUACAAAUACGGAGGAAGGUGGGGAUGACGUCAAAUCAUCAUGCCCCUUAUGACCUGGGCUACACACGUGCUACAAUGGACGGUACAAACGGUUGCGAAGUCGGCGAGACGGAGCCAAAUUCGAGAAAAGCCGUUCUCAGUUCGGAUUGCAGG
rnacentral:rRNA from 1 species